CAACCCCCGGGCCCCGUCCGGCGUUGGGGUCGCCGCGCACAGCGGCACCCCGAAGAACAGUGGCGGGAUCCCCGGCACCCCUGGCGUAGUAGCAUACCCCGCCUAGGGCGUGCAGGAGUCUCCCUGCCGUCAAGCGAAUAUCUUCUAA
rnacentral:misc_RNA from 1 species